UAGCAGCACAUCAUGUUUUGCAGAUGUGCUGAAUCGCUUCAAAUCAUCAUGUGCUGCCACC
ensembl:miRNA